CUGCCGCGGCCCUGAGCUCACCUGAGGCGGAGGCGCCCGCGACUCCCCGCCAGCUCCGCCAGUCUCCUCCAGCCCCGGCCCUCGGGCGCCUGAUCCAGGAGCUCGCUGAGCCUCCGCAGCAGCGGCUCCCGCAGGCGGUUGAGGGUCGCGCCGGCCGGAGGGGCGAGCAGCGGCCCCGUGGGGGCGGCCGAGGGCGGCAGGGCCUGUAGCGGGUCCCCCAACAGCGACAUGGCCCUCGCCGGCGACCCCGGACUGCCGGGGCUCCCGCCCGCCCCGUCACGGGCCUCGGCCCCGGGGCACCUUCCGCUCGCCUCCGAGCCGCGGAGGCAGGGGCGGAAGAACAAAUCUGGCAGCGCGGCACGGCCCUCAGAGGAGGAAGCUCCGCUCCCCGCCCCAAUUAGACAGCAGGAAUCAUCUGGUUUACACCGCGUCAGACUGCCGCCCGCAAUCUCCGUCAUCAAAGCAGGCAACCCUGUAGAGGAUGCCUUUCCCUGGAAUGAUCCGGAAUGGACGACACCUGAGCUCUCUCUGCCAAUCUUAGCAACAUCCAAGGCCAUUAUCCCUUUGAAAACUAUGGCUUCGUUUGGGACAAAAAGGAAGUAACUUACGAAAUGUGACCAGUCAGGUAGUUCCCUACACGAGGCUUCCUGGCCCAAUUUCUGUUGCCAUUAGCUUUUCAUCACCCAAGGCCGCAGGAUUUUCUGACCAGUAAUUUGGAUACCUAUAUUCUUAUA
rnacentral:lncRNA from 1 species